UUAGCUUGGAAAAUAGGGCAAGUAUUUGUUCGUCAAGAGUGGAAAACUCACAUAACUAUAGGGAUCAGGUGGGCAACAUGAAUGAAUGGACCCCAUUGGGAAGGAACUCUCACAGUGCCUGCCCUGCCACUAGCAUUCAGUCGAUGUUCCCAGACUUGAUAUUAAGAAGAAGAGGUGAAGAAAGAAUUGUACCUGCAGAUGGAGACCAUGCAGAAGGGUGGGAUGGUCAAAAAAAAAGACUAGAUGGACGCAAAAAGAAGAGGACAGGGCCAACACAGAAAAGACAGAGUUCAGGUGACACCUCUACCUUUCUUUCAUUGUAGGUGGAAAGGAGUCUUCGUCUGAAACUGAUAAGUCAGCCUGAUGCUCUAAUGGAAAAUGGCCCUCUUCAAGUCUGGUGAGUAAAUCACUGUAUGUUCCCUGCACCAACAACCUGAGGGACUAUAUUCCUUUUUCGUUUUUUCUUCUCCAACUAUUGUGAUUUGGGGAAGAAAAGUUCCCUUGACAUCCUUUGUGGGUAGGAAGACACAUAAAGGGUGGAGCUGAGGGGAAGGAGACACACACUGAGUGAUACUGCAUGGAGAGUGAGGAUGGAAAUGCCAAACAGAGGAGGCGAUGCCUGCCCAAAGAACUUUGUCCUUCUUAGGCUUCCCAUGCCACCUACUGCCUGUGUCUCCUCAAAGGAUUUAAUGCUUCCAAGCUUUGGCCUCCACAUUUUUAGAUGAUGAUUGCAAUCUGUGUUUCACGGGGGCUGAGGUGAAGACUGAGGGAAUAAUGAACUUGCUUGGCAGGAACCUAGCAAGAAAUAGAUGGCAAGUUCAAACUGGGUGGUUGAACAAGGUUUCCAGAAAGGAGGGUUAAGAGAAAGCAACAAGGAAAAGUGCAGUGCCCCCAUGAUUCCCAACAGUGGGGAGCUGUCUCCACCCCUAGCCUGCGAGGGCUAGGGAGGGGAGGCAGUUACUGGAACCCAGAGAAAAGUAGCUCAAAGACAGGGUUUCUUGAGAGAGUCGACAGGCCUUGUUAGAGCAGCACCAGCUGCUGCUAGCAGGGAGGAGGCAGGAAAUUAAACGGUGUGUCUUUCCUUUCUUUCUCCUUCCAAUCUUCUAUCAGGGCUUCCCACUGGCCAAACCCAACAGCAAACCAGAGGACAAGGGAGCCCAGUGGCAUUGUUCUUAAAGGACAGAUUCCUGGGGCCCAGAAGAAGGUGAAGAAAGCUGAAGGGUAGAGAGUGAACCUGGGGCAUAUAAGGCCUCACAUAGAGCCCAGCACAGAGACGGCCUUGCAGCUAUUAGAAGAUCAGAAGCUUCCUUCAUGCCCUGCUGUAGGCUGAGUACAUAACAUCAUUGCCUUAUACAACGCUAGAGAUUCAUGUUUUAAUCUGAUUUUUCAGGUGAGGAAAUGCUUCAGAUGAGGCUCCACCUUGUUAAACAAACUGGAUGUAUGGAAAAAUAAACUGCAGAAAAGGGGAACUCAUUUAGCUCAUGAGUGGUCGAGUGAAGGUUGAAAAUUAACUUCUGAUCAUAAAGCAUUAGUGGGCAGAGUCAAUGUGGGGAGGAAAACAAGAAAAAGGUAGAAAGAGGCUGCUUGCUGCUUCCUGAGGCAGCAUCAGGGUGUUGGGUUAGGCAGAUGCUGAGGCAACUCUCAUUUCACCCUCCUCUUCCCCUCUGGACACAAGAUACCUGGGGCUUUCUCUCCUGGCAUCAAUGAGAGAGUCACAUUUAGGGAAGGCUAGGGACGCCGGGCUCUGGACUCAGGUCUCCUCAGCACAGCCCAGGCCUUGGCAUGCUGAGGCUCUGAAAUCCAGGAAAAAUGCUCGACCCCAUGGACACUUCCUCAAAUUCUCUACAGCGGAUGUGAUUCUGGAUCCCAAAACAGCAAACCCCAUCCUCCUUGUUUCUGAGGACCAGAGGAGUGUGCAGCGUGCCAAGGAGCCCCAGGAUCUGCCAGACAACCCUGAGAGAUUUGAUUGGCAUUAUUGUGUUCUCGGCUGUGAGAGCUUCAUGUCAGGGAGACAUUACUGGGAGGUGGAGGUAGGGGACAGGAAAGAGUGGCAUAUAGGGGUGUGUAGUAAGAUUGUGCAGAGAAAAGGUUGGGUCAAAAUGACACCUGAGAACGGAUUCUGGACUAUGGGGCUGACUGGUGGGAAUAAGUAUCAGAUUCUCACUAAGCUCAGAACCAACCUGACACUUCCUGAGCCCCUAGGAAAUCGGGAAUCUUCCUGGUCUAUGAGACUGGAGAUAUGUCAUUCUGCAAUGCUACGGAUGGGUCGCAUAUUCACAAUUUCCUGGAUAUCUCCUUUUCUGGGCCUCUGUAUACCAUUUUCAGAAUUUUGACCUAGGAACCCACUGCCCUGACCUUUGCCCAGCACCAAAAGAAGUAGAGAGUUCCCUCCUUCCUGACCUAGUGCCUGAUCAUUCCCUGGAGACACCAGUGGCCCAAGCUUAGCUAAUGAAAGUGGGAAGCCUCAGGCUGAAAUAAUGUCUCUACUUCUCUCUGCCCAGCCUGAAUCUGAGGGUCCCCUUCUCCACAGCAACCAAUCACAACCAUAAAGCUACAGGCACACACUGAAGAACGCUACUGAUAUUCAUUCUAUUUUAUUCUGUAUACCAAAUCUUAGAGUUUCAUACCACUUUAUUGUCCCCUUUAUGCAGAUACGGAAACUGGGGUACAGAAAAGUGAAUUAACUUUCCAAAUUUGGCAUGACUAGUAAACAACAGAGCUGGGAUCUAAACAGCAAUAACUAACAUUAAUGGAGAAUUUAAAAUGUUCUGAGUGCUGUGUUAUGAGCUUUGGUGGAUGUCACUCCUUUAAUCCUCACAACACCCUGUCGGGUAGUCUCAUUUUGCAAGUAUGGAAGCUGAGGCAGGGCAACAUUAAGUAACUUACAUAACUCCUACGGUAAUUUGUGCUGUUGGGAGAUGGUCAGCUUCAGUCUCUGGCCAUUUGCCCAUUCUUUUCCACCCUGAUUCUUCCCCCAUGGGAAAAACCCACCUGUAGCCCUGAGGUUCUUUUCCCAGGACAGCUCCAGGGUAAGGAUCAUUGUAGGUGGUUGUGGAGUUGGCAUUCCUUUUGACUCCUUUGCAGCUGAUUGUCAGAGCAAUAGACCCAGCACUCCUUGGAUUAGCUCUGCAGAGUGUCUUGGUUGAGAGAAUAACCUCACAGUACCCACGUGAUGUGUAACUGGGAAAGAGACUAAAGGCCACAUGACAUGUAACUGGGAAAGAAACUAAAGGCCAUACUCAAUGUAUAAUGAAGCCCUGGUAGGUAACAGAGCCUCUGGGAGGUAAACAGUGUGAAUUAGGAUUUGAGUUGACUUUGAAGGCUAGCAUGUCAAGUCUCCUAAAAACCAUCACCUCCUAUGGGUGGUAGAGAGUGGUGGUUAUGGAAGACCUAAACUAGAAAGAAGGGUCAAUAUCUUUAGGUCAAAAGGUUUCUUAGGCUUCUGCCCCCUUGGCAGGAGGGACUCCUUCCUGCCUAGGGGAUUUUCCAAGGGACAGAGCUGGGGAAAAUCCUUAUUGAUACACACCCAUAAUUCAUUCAACAAAUGCUCGAGAAUCAUAUUGUAUGUUCAAGACACUGUUCUAGAAACCAAGGGUAAAUCAUUGAGCAAACUAUAUUAAGAUCUCUUCUCUCAAAAAGUGGUUAAAUAAUUAACCAUAUAUUCUAUCAGAUGGUGAUGAAUAUCUGUAGGAAACAUUAAGCAAGGAAGGAAAAGAGAGGUAGGGGCAUGAGACAGAUAUGUACCCCCAACAAAUGUGAUAAGUGAUCAUGGAGCCAGAGCCAGCCUUCCUAUAGUCAAAGUUUCCAGGUAGAACAAAUACUCUGUGAUAUAAGAAAUUUGGAUGAAGGAAGCUGGAAGAAUUACAGGGAUAUUUUUAAUCCCUCUAUGGAUUCAGUCUGCUGGAAAGGGGUCUAUCCACCCCUGUUCAUUAGUGGAUGUUAAACCCAUAUUCCUUUCAACUGAUGCCUGCUUGGGAAAACUACUCCUCAUUAUCAUCACUAUUGUUGCUCACCAUUGUAUCCCCUCUUCUUGGCAUGUGCUUGUCAAGUCUUGGUUGUUCAAUAAAUUUGUUAAUAAUGCUUACUCUUCAACUUGGCUUUUUCUGGACUCUAAUAAGUCUACUCAGCACAGCAGAGCAGUCUACAUACCCAUUGUACUCACCACAGAUUCAGUUUACCUUAUUGCAACUUUUGCCCAACACCCUUAUUGUAUCCAUUUUUCUACUGCAGCCAUCUGAAUUACCACAAAUUCAUUGACUUAAAGCAAGACAAAUUUAUCUCACAGUUUUGUAGGUCAGAAGUCCAACAGGAGUUUCACCAGGCUAAAAUCACUGCACUCCAGCCUGGACAACAGAGCUAAAACCCUCUCUCUAAAAAAAUAUAUAAAUAAAAUUAAAAAGAAAAACAAAAGAGCCAUUGCCUAACAGAUGGAGCCUCUGAGAGGUAAAUAGUGUGAAUUAGGAUUAGAGUUGGCCUUGCAGGCUACCAUGUCAAGUCUUUGCAGGCUACCAUGUCACCCAUAACACCUCCUAUGGGUGUUAGAGAGCCAUGGUUAUGUGAAGCCCUAAACUAGACAGAAGGGUCAGUGUCUUUAGGUCAAAAGAUUUCUUAGCAUUCUGCCCGCCUGGCAGAUUUCUGUCCUCCUCAUUAUCAUUCUAGAGUUUCUGGAAGCUGAGGUCUACUAAGAAGUUCCAGAGGCAGAAAGUGAAAUCCAAAACCUUCCUGUUUGAAGUUGGAGUUGAAACACCCACCUUGAAGUGAGAAAAUAAGUCUGGCAGGAUAAAUUGAACAAGCAUUUAUAGCAGACAGAUAGAUGCUUGGUGCUGGGAUGGGGCCUGUAGGUAGACCACAAAGAAAAGGGUGCAGUGGGAUCCUUUUCUCUUAGAGAGCUCACAGUUUACGUGGCCCAUUGGUCUCCUGGUGUUCUCUAACAUCAAGGUUCUUUCUUCCUUACCCUCAUCCUUUUUUUCCUCUUUUCAAUCUCUUGCUUCCUACCUCCUUUUUUUCCUUUACUUUCUUUCUUCACAGAAGAGAUGCAAUAGGCACUGAGACAUCACUGCUUUUUAGCUGAGCCCUGAUAUCUCUCCCCUGGACUGGGCUCUGAUCCCCCCGCUGAAAUGAGGGGCAAUGAGGGUGGGGGCAUCUGGCUUGAGUGCAUAUGUGGAGGGCGGUACCCAAGGCCCCUCACAAUGUGGAGGAACCCCUUCCUGCCCAGGGGAUUUUCCAAGAGACAGAGCUGGGGAAAAUCCUUAUUGAUACACACUAAUAAUUCAUUCAACAAAUGCUCAAGAAGCAUAUUGUAUGUUCAAGACAGUGUUCUAGAAACCCGGGGUAAACCAUUGAGCAAAA